rnacentral:rRNA from 1 species
AUUGAACGCUGGCGGCAGGCUUAACACAUGCAAGUCGAGCGGAGAGAGGUAGCUUGCUACUGAUCUUAGCGGCGGACGGGUGAGUAAUGCUUAGGAAUCUGCCUAUUAGUGGGGGACAACAUUUCGAAAGGAAUGCUAAUACCGCAUACGUCCUACGGGAGAAAGCAGGGGAUCUUCGGACCUUGCGCUAAUAGAUGAGCCUAAGUCGGAUUAGCUAGUUGGUGGGGUAAAGGCCUACCAAGGCGACGAUCUGUAGCGGGUCUGAGAGGAUGAUCCGCCACACUGGGACUGAGACACGGCCCAGACUCCUACGGGAAGCAGCAGUGGGGAAUAUUGGACAAUGGGCGGAAGCCUGAUCCAGCCAUGCCGCGUGUGUGAAGAAGGCCUUAUGGUUGUAAAGCACUUUAAGCGAGGAGGAGGCUACUUUAGUUAAUACCUAGAGAUAGUGGACGUUACUCGCAGAAUAAGCACCGGCUAACUCUGUGCCAGCAGCCGCAGUAAUAC